CUAGGGGAGGCUGCAGUGGGGAAUAUUGGACAAUGGGCGAAAGCCUGAUCCAGCCAUGCCGCGUGUGUGAAGAAGGCCUUCGGGUUGUAAAGCACUUUCAGUGGGGAAGAAAGCCUUGGGGCUAAUACCCUCGAGGAAGGACAUCACCCACAGAAGAAGCACCGGCUAACUCCGUGCCAGCAGCCGCGGUAAUACGGAGGGUGCGAGCGUUAAUCGGAAUUACUGGGCGUAAAGCGCGCGUAGGCGGUCUGAUAAGCCGGUUGUGAAAGCCCCGGGCUCAACCUGGGAACGGCAUCCGGAACUGUCAGGCUAGAGUGCAGGAGAGGAAGGUAGAAUUCCCGGUGUAGCGGUGAAAUGCGUAGAGAUCGGGAGGAAUACCAGUGGCGAAGGCGGCCUUCUGGACUGACACUGACGCUGAGGUGCGAAAGCGUGGGUAGCAAACAGGAUUAGAUACCCCAGUAGUC
rnacentral:rRNA from 1 species